rnacentral:rRNA from 1 species
GACGAACGCUGGCGGCGUGCUUAACACAUGCAAGUCGAACGCUGAAGCUUGGUGCUUGCACUGGGUGGAUGAGUGGCGAACGGGUGAGUAAUACGUGAGUAACCUGCCCUUGACUCUGGGAUAAGCCUGGGAAACUGGGUCUAAUACUGGAUAUGACAUGCCACUGCAUGGUGGUGUGUGGAAAGGGUUUUACUGGUUUUGGAUGGGCUCACGGCCUAUCAGCUUGUUGGUGGGGUAAUGGCCUACCAAGGCGACGACGGGUAGCCGGCCUGAGAGGGUGACCGACCACACUGGGACUGAGACACGGCCCAGACUCCUACGGGAGGCAGCAGUGGGGAAUAUUGCACAAUGGGCGGAAGCCUGAUGCAGCGACGCCGCGUGAGUGAUGACGGCCUUCGGGUUGUAAACCUCUUUCAGCACGGAAGAAGCGAGAGUGACGGUACGUGCAGAAGAAGCGCCGGCUAACUACGUG